rnacentral:rRNA from 1 species
UACGUAGGGUGCAAGCGUUGUCCGGAAUUAUUGGGCGUAAAGGGCUCGUAGGCGGUCCAUCGCGUCGGGAGUGAAAAGCUGGGGCUUAACCCCAGUCCUGCUUCCGAUACGGGUGGACUAGAGGUAGGUAGGGGAGAGCGGAAUUCCUGGUGUAGCGGUGAAAUGCGCAGAUAUCAGGAGGAACACCGGUGGCGAAGGCGGUUCUCUGGGCCUUACCUGACGCUCAGGUGCGAAAGCUAGGGGAGCGAACAGG